rnacentral:lncRNA from 1 species
AGAAGACGAAGAGCUGGAAUAGAGCUCGCCUCGGCUCUGCUGGCCUUGGCUGCAGCUCUUCCAGAAAACCCCGGGCUCCCGCAGAAGAAUCUCUUACCUGGCUCUCUCUUCAGGGAUGACAUCAUCGGCUCACACCAGUUUUCCAGGACCACCUUCUGGAUGCCAAGGCUGCUGCUCGAGUACCUGCUGUGCACCUCUACCUCCUGAGCCAAGGAGCAUGGAUUCCAGGAACGCACUACCAUACAGAGCAACUCCUUGUGGACCCCUCUGGGAUCAGGACAGCGAGGGACAAGCGACAAAGAGGACCAUCAGUGGCCAGCUAGUCUCUCUGGGGUUCAAACCUUGAACCAGUGCCCUAGUGAGGGGGCACUGGCCAUGGCCCUUGACCUUUGCUCUGCUUGUGUCUUGAGUCUGAGUCCUUUCCUGUACAUCUGUGCUUGUGUUCAUCUGCUAGUGAACUGGAGUGCUGCCCUCCCCGAGGGGGGUCGUCCCUUGUGACUGACCAUGCUGUCCUAACAAUGUCCUGAGCAAAAGGGUCCCUUUGGGAACCUCUCAGGAGGGGGACCCGGGUCAGGGGCGACCAGCAUCUUGCUGGCAACUCCGUGGGUGGGGUGGGGUGCUUCCUUCUGGAAUGAGCACGUGGCUGACCCCCAAAGGCAUGUCCCCUCCCCCUCCUCCACCCACCUUCUCGGAGAUGUCCCUUUUGGGGUAGUGGGGACAUUAGGAGCAACCUCCUAGGGUUGUUGUGAGAAUUAAAUGAACUGCAGCAGCCUGAGGCAGGGCUGGGCAGAGACCUCAGCACAUGUUUGUUGAAAGGUUUGCAGGUGGAUCUAGUCCUCCCGUUCAUGGCUCAUGUGUCUCAACCAUUCUCCCGCAGACUCCUGCAGCCCCUAUGCCCAGGGCUCUCCUUGCUCCAGGUAGGGGCUCUUUAGACAACAGGAUGUCCAGGAGAUUUUGAGUAAGGACACGAGUGUGUGGUCAUUUCCAGGGCACUUUCUACAUAAUGUGACCAUGUUAUUCCUAUGUCAUUUGUGUGUCAAAGGGGGUAGCCUAGUGUCUAGAGAGGAGGGGUGAAUUGGCAUUGAUUUUUAUUUUUAUUUUUAUUUUUUUUUUCAUGAUUUUUAAAGAGGUAGGUGGGAAAGAGAACUGGGAGAGCCCGGACUCACUCAUGAGAUUGAACUUAAAUUCACACGGAGGACACUUGGACUCUUGCCACAUUGGGUAAGAGAAGGGGUCAAAGUUGGACAUGGGUGCCAUUGUGGCGACCCCUGAUGGUCCAGUCCCCUGUCCUCCACCUAAAGUUCUUCGAUCCAUACCAAACAUUUCACAAUGGGAAAUCCUAGCUUCCCAGGGUGGUCUUGGGGAGCUGCUGGGGGUGGGGGUGGGGUGGCCCAAGUUUGGUAGCAUGUGCUGACUUCACCUCUUAGGGAUGGUGUGACCUUAAACAAGUCAUUUAGCUUCCAGGUUUCAGUUCCUUUCACACCUAAAUAGGCAUUUC